AGUGAACGCUGGCGGUAGGCCUAACACAUGCAAGUCGAACGGCAGCACAGUAAGAGCUUGCUCUUACGGGUGGCGAGUGGCGGACGGGUGAGGCAUACAUCGGAAUCUACUUUUUCGUGGGGGAUAACGUAGGGAAACUUACGCUAAUACCUCAUACGACCUACGGGUGAAAUCAGGGGAUCUUCGGACCUUGCGCGAUUGAAUGAGCCGAUGUCGGAUUAGCUAGUUGGCGGGGUAAAGGCCCACCAAGGCGACGAUCCGUAGCUGGUCUGAGAGGAUGAUCAGCCACACUGGAACUGAGACAAGGUCCAGACUCCUAAGGGAGGCAGCAGUGGGGAAUAUUGGACAAUGGGCGCAAGCCUGAUCCAGCCAUACCGCGUGGGUGAAGAAGGCCUUCGGGUUGUAAAGCCCUUUUGUUGGGAAAGAAAAGCAGCAGGUUAAUACCCCGCUGUUCUGACGGUACCCAAAGAAUAAGCACCGGGUAAAUUCGUG
rnacentral:rRNA from 1 species